UGCACGAAUGGCGUAACGAUGGCCACACUGUCUCCUCCCGAGACUCAGCGAAGUUGAAGUGUUUGUGAUGAUGCAAUCUCCCCGCGGCUAGACGGAAAGACCCCAUGAACCUUUACUGUAGCUUUGCAUUGGACUUUGAACCGGUCUGUGUAGGAUAGGUGGGAGGCUUUGAAGCGUGGACGCCAGUCUGCGUGGAGCCGCCCUUGAAAUACCACCCUGGUUUGUUUGAGGUUCUAACCUUGGUCCGUUAUCCGGACUGGGGACAGUGCAUGGUAGGCAGUUUGACUGGGGCGGUCUCCUCCCAAAGUGUAACGGAGGAGUACGAAGGUACGCUAGGUACGGUCGGAAAUCGUGCUGAUAGUGCAAUGGCAUAAGCGUGCUUAACUGCGAGACCGACAAGUCGAGCAGGUGCGAAAGCAGGUCAUAGUGAUCCGGUGGUUCUGUAUGGAAGGGCCAUCGCUCAACGGAUAAAAGGUACUCUGGGGAUAACAGGCUGAUACCGCCCAAGAGUUCAUAUCGACGGCGGUGUUUGGCACCUCGAUGUCGGCUCAUCUCAUCCUGGGGCUGUAGCCGGUCCCAAGGGUAUGGCUGUUCGCCAUUUAAAGAGGUACGUGAGCUGGGUUUAAAACGUCGUGAGACAGUUUGGUCCCUAUCUGCCGUGGGCGCUGGAUAUUUGAAGGGGGCUGCUCCUAGUACGAGAGGACCGGAGUGGACGAACCUCUGGUGUACCGGUUGUCACGCCAGUGGCAUCGCCGGGUAGCUAUGUUCGGAAGAGAUAACCGCUGAAAGCAUCUAAGCGGGAAACUCGCCUUAAGAUGAGAUAUCCCCGGGGCUUCGAGCCCCUUGAAGGGUCGUUCAAGACCAGGACGUUGAUAGGUCAGGUGUGGAAGCGCAGUAAUGCGUUAAGCUAACUGAUACUAAUUGCCCGUAAGGCUUGAUCC
rnacentral:rRNA from 1 species